CAAUAGCGUAUAUUUAAGUUGCUGCAGUUAAAAAGCUCGUAGUUGGAUUUCUGGUGGGAGCGGUUGGUCUGCCCCGCGAGGGGUAGUUACUGAGCCGUAUCCGGCCCUUUUCGGGUUGACCGUGGCUGGCAUUAAUUUGUCGGUGCGGGGGGCCCGUCGUUUACUGUGAACAAAUUAGAGUGUUCAAAGCAGGGUGUUCUUGAAUACAUUAGCAUGGAAUAAUGAGAUAGGACUUUGGUGGUUCUCACUUUAUGUGGGAUAUUUUGUUGGUUUGCACGCCAAAGUAAUGAUUAAUAGGAGCAGUUGGGGUAUUCGUAUUCAAUUGUCAGAGGUGAAAUUCUUGGAUUUCUAGAAGACGAACUACUGCGAAAGCAUUUACCAAGGAUGUUUUCAUUAA
rnacentral:rRNA from 1 species